GAUGAAGAACGCAGCGAAAUGCGAUACGUAAUGUGAAUUGCAGAAUUCAGUGAAUCAUCGAGUCUUUGAACGCGCAUUGCGCCCCCUGGUAUUCCGGGGGGCAUGCCUGUCCGAGCGUCAUUGCUGCCCUCAAGCACGGCUUGUGUGUUGGGCCUCCGUCCUCCUCCCGGGGGACGGGCCCGAAAGGCAGCGGCGGCACCGCGUCCGGUCCUCGAGCGUAUGGGGCUUCGUCACCCGCUCUUGUAGGCCCGGUCGGCGCUUGCCGACACAUCAAUCUUUUUUCCAGGUUGACCUCGGAUCAGGUAGGGAUACCCGCUGAACUUAAGCAUAUCAGUAAGCGGAGGA
rnacentral:misc_RNA from 1 species